AACGCGAAGAACCUUACCAGGUCUUGACAUCCAAAGAACCUUUACGAAAGUAAGGGGUGCCUUCGGGAGCUUUGAGACAGGUGGUGCAUGGUUGUCGUCAGCUCGUGUCGUGAGAUGUUGGGUUAAGUCCCGCAACGAGCGCAACCCUCAUCCUUAGUUGCCAUCAUUAAGUUGGGCACCCUAAGGAAACUGCCGCAGUUAAUGCGGAGGAAGGUGGGGACGACGUCAAGUCAUCAUGCCCCUUAUGUCCUGGGCUGCACACGUGCUACAAUGGCCGGUACAAUGGGCUGCGAUGCCGCGAGGCGGAGCGAAUCCCAUAAAACCGGCCCCAGUUCGGAUCGGAGGCUGCAACUCGCCUCCGUGAAGUCGGAGUUGCUAGUAAUCGCGGAUCAGCAUGCCGCGGUGAAUACGUUCCCGGGUCUUGUACACACCG
rnacentral:rRNA from 1 species